rnacentral:lncRNA from 1 species
AACUAAGGUUUUGUAAUAAAUUCUGACAUGUUUCCUCUUGCAGGUGUGCAUGCGGGACGUGUGCAUGUUUUAAGUAUCUAGCAUUACGGUCAAUGAAAAAGGAUGCUCAGCGUCUGAAGACAACCGACGGUGCCAUCGCAAAUUAUCAGAGUUAGAGCCCGCCGCAACCACACUGACAGUGGUUAUUGUAGUGCUGCAGGCCUCGACUGGUCAUCAACAACUCUAAAUACGGCCAGCGUUGCACAACUUCACAAUUCAGAUGAGGGCCUGAACGAAAUAGGCAAGAAAAGACUAGGCCGCUCAAGUUCAGAGCGAGAAGUUGGGCGAUCGUCCAGUUUACGAACCAAUACAAGUCCAGCUGGCAUCAGGUGUAGUCGAAGCAGUCAGCCCUCAAUUGAUAGUGAUAAAAACGGUGUUUCAAACGGUGUUGACUAUGGAGACACCCGCCCUGUCCAUCAUAUGCAGUCCUACAAAGAAUAUAAAGAAGCAUUAAAACAGCAGCGUGCCAUGGAUGUGUACAAAUCAAAAACAGAGUUGAAGUCGAAUGCGAGUCCAGCCUCACCAAAGAAACCAGGCGGGCCAACGCCAGUGUCAGUACCUGCUGUGCCAGUGGUGCCUGUCUCUCCUGUUCAACUAGGUGCAGACGUUGUUGCCAAAAAGCCCGUGCAAAAGGUCCAGCCUUCGAGAAUCACCAAAGCGGAGAGCCUGGAUUCGCCAGUCAUUGGGGACAAUGUGGCUUACGUGAAGCCAUCGCCGCCAAAAACUGGUGAAAUUUAAGCUACCCAGCAAACGUUGGUGUGGAUGGACCACCACGACCAAUGUGGAAUCGAAGCAACAUAUCCCCAGAAAAGCUAAGCUUUACAAUGCGGCGAGAGUUGGGGCCGUGCCAAAGAAGAGGCUCAGAUUAUCAGUCAACUUCGAUCGGUCUGUAUUUUGUAUCAAUUUUAGUAUUUCUCUUUCAACUGAGAUUUAGUAAAUCCUAGCCUUCCCAUUUUAAAAACCCUGUCUCCCCAAAAAUUUUCAAGCCUGUGAUCUUUGUCU